GUUAGAACGCUCGUAGUCGGAUUUCGGGGCGGGACGACCGGUCUGCCGAUGGGUACGCACUGGUGGUCGCGUCCUUCCUUCCGGAGACCGUGCCUACUCUUAACUGAGCGGGGGCGGGAGACGGAACGUUUACUUUGAAAAAAUCAGAGUGUUUCAAGCAGGCAGCUCGCUCUUGCAUGGAUUAGCAUGGGAUAAUGAAAUAGGACUUUGGUGCUAUUUUGUUGGUUUCGAACACCGAAGUAAUGAUGAGAAGGGACAGUCAGGGGCACUCGUAUUCCGCCGAGAGAGGUGAAAUUCUCAGACCAGCGGAAGACGAACCACUGCGAAAGCAUUUGCCAGGGAUGUUUUCACUGAUCAAGAACGAAAGUUAGGGGAUCGAAGACGAUCAGAUACCGUCGUAGUCUUAACCAUAAACCAUGCCGACUAGGGAUUGGAGGAUGUUCACUGAUUGACUCCUUCAGCACCUUACGGGAAACUAAAGUCUUUGGGUUCCGGGGGGAGUAUGGUCGCAAGGCUGAAACUUAAAGGAAUUGACGGAAGGGCACCACCAGGUGUGGAGCCUGCGGCUUAAUUUGACUCAACACGGGGAAACUUACCAGGUCCAGACAUUGUGAGGGUUGACAGAUUGAGAGCUCUUUCUUGAUUUAAUGGGUGGUGGUGCAUGGCCGUUCUUAGUUGGUGGAGUGAUUUGUCUGGUUAAUUCCGUUAACGAACGAGACCUUAGCCUGCUAAAUAGUGACGCGAACACUCCGUUCGCGGUCCACUUCUUA
rnacentral:rRNA from 1 species